rnacentral:rRNA from 1 species
UGGGGAAUAUUGCACAAUGGGCGAAAGCCUGAUGCAGCAACGCCGCGUGAGUGAUGAAGGCCUUCGGGUUGUAAAGCUCUGUCUUCUGGGACGAUAAUGACGGUACCAGAGGGGGAAGCCACGGCUAACUACGUGCCAGCAGCCGCGGUAAUACGUAGGUGGCAAGCGUUGUCCGGAUUUACUGGGCGUAAAGGAUGCGUAGGCGGAUACUUAAGUCAGAUGUGAAAAUCCCGGGCUUAACUUGGGAACUGCAUUUGAAACUGGGUAUCUAGAGUGCGGGAGAGGAAAGUGGAAUUCCUAGUGUAGCGGUUAAAUGCGUAGAGAUUAGGAAGAACACCAGUGGCGAAGGCGACUUUCUGGACCGUAACUGACGCUGAGGCAUGAAAGCGUGGGGAGCAAACA